rnacentral:tRNA from 1 species
GCGCGCUUAGCUCAAAAGGUAGAGCGACCCCUUGGUAAGGAGUAGGUAACUGGUUCGACUCCCAUAGCGCGCU